CCUACGGGAGGCUGCAGUGAGGAAUAUUGGUCAAUGGGCGAGAGCCUGAACCAGCCAAGUCGCGUGAGGGAGUACUGCCCUAUGGGUUGUAAACCUCUUUUGUCGGGGAGCAAAAGCCGGACGUGUCCGGCUGUUAGAGUACCCGAAGAAAAAGCAUCGGCUAACUCCGUGCCAGCAGCCGCGGUAAUACGGAGGAAGCGAGCGGUAUCCGGAUUUAUUGGGUUAAAUGGGUGCGCAGGCGGAUUUUUAAGUCAGCGGUCAAAUCGUGGGGCUCAACCCCAUCCAGCCGUUGAAACUGAGGAUCUAGAGUGUGCGAAGGGUAUGCGGAAUGCGUGGUGUAGCGGUGAAAUGCA
rnacentral:rRNA from 1 species